GUGGGGAAUAUUGGACAAUGGGCGAAAGCCUGAUCCAGCCAUGCCGCGUGUGUGAAGAAGGUCUUCGGAUUGUAAAGCACUUUAAGUUGGGAGGAAGGGCAGUAAGUUAAUACCUUGCUGUUUUGACGUUACCGACAGAAUAAGCACCGGCUAACUUCGUGCCAGCAGCCGCGGUAAUACGAAGGGUGCAAGCGUUAAUCGGAAUUACUGGGCGUAAAGCGCGCGUAGGUGGUUUUGUAAGUUGGAGGUGAAAUCCCCGGGCUCAACAUGGGAACUGCCUCCAAAACUGCAUGACUAGAGUACGGUAGAGGGUAGUGGAAUUUCCUGUGUAGCGGUGAAAUGCGUAGAUAUAGGAAGGAACACCAGUGGCGAAGGCGACUACCUGGACUGAUACUGACACUGAGGUGCGAAAGCGUGGGGAGCAAACAGGAUUAGAAACCCCAGUAGUCC
rnacentral:rRNA from 1 species